CAGUCGCCACGGGAAUACAGAGGGUGCGAGCGUUAAUCGGAUUUACUGGGCGUAAAGCGUGCGUAGGCGGCUUCUUAAGUCGGAUGUGAAAUCCCUGAGCUUAACUUGGGAAUUGCAUUAGAUACUGGUUAGCUAGAGUGUGGGAGAGGAUGGUAGAAUUCCAGGUGUAGCGGUGAAAUGCGUAGAGAUCUGGAGGAAUACCGAUGGCGAAGGCAGCCAUCUGGCCUAACACUGACGCUGAGGUACGAAAGCAUGGGGAGCAAACAGGAUUAGAUACCCCCGUAGUCCCUGUCUCUUAUAC
rnacentral:rRNA from 1 species